rnacentral:rRNA from 1 species
GACGAACGCUGGCGGCGUGCUUAACACAUGCAAGUCGAACGGGAUUUGGUAAACAGAAACCUCGGUGGAAGAUUACUAAUGAGAGUGGCGAACGGGUGAGUAACGCGUGAGCAACCUGCCUAUGACAGUGGGAUAGCCUCGGGAAACCGGGAUUAAUACCGCAUAAAAUCGUAGAAACACAUGUUUUAACGGUCAAAGAUUUAUCGGUCAUAGAUGGGCUCGCGUCUGAUUAGCUAGUUGGUGAGAUAACAGCCCACCAAGGCGACGAUCAGUAGCCGGUCUGAGAGGAUGAACGGCCACAUUGGAACUGAGACACGGUCCAAACUCCUACGGGAGGCAGCAGUGGGGAAUAUUGCACAAUGGGGGAAACCCUGAUGCAGCGACGCCGCGUGAACGAAGAAGGUAUUCGUAUCGUAAAGUUCUGUCCUAUGGGAAGAUAAUGACAGUACCAUAGAAGAAAGCUCCGGCUAAAUACGUG